CCCUUAGAUGUUCUGGGCCGCACGCGCGCUACACUGGUGCAUUCAACGAGCCUAUCCUUGACCGACAGGUCCGGGUAAUCUUUGAAUCUGCAUCGUGACGGGGAUAGAUUAUUGCAAUUAUUAAUCUUCAACGAGGAAUGCCUAGUAGGCGCAAGUCAUCAGCUUGCGUCGAUUACGUCCCUGCCCUUUGUACACACCGCCCGUCGCUCCUACCGAUUGGGUGUGCUGGUGAAAUGUUCGGAUCGGCCGUUUGUCGCGGUUUCCGCGGCUCGUGGCUGAGAAGUUCAUUAAACCCUCCCACCUAGAGGAAGGAGAAGUCGUAACA
rnacentral:rRNA from 1 species